GCGGGAGUAGCUCAGCGGUAGAGCACCACCUUGCCAAGGUGGGGGUCGCGAGUUCGAGCCUCGUCUCCCGCUCCA
rnacentral:tRNA from 1 species